GGCUAACGAAACCUCUUCCUCUAACGCAGAAAAGUACGAACAUUUCUCCAAAGCACUCUCUUCAAUAAAUCCAUCUCUGCCCUAAACACCGGCCGUCUCCGAGGGUCUCUGAGCGACUGCCGUGGGGGUCAGCGCCGUCUCCCGCCUUCGUUGGCUGCGUGGAGGCGAGCCGGGACGGGUGAGCAGUGCUUGGAGCAGCCUUCUGGUUUAUGAAAGCUGCGUGUGGGAAUGCCUGGGAAGUCAGGAAGGAUGCUGAAAGCAUCUCGGUCUGUGUGCGGUAACAGCAGCCAUCCUUCAUGUGGGAAGGAAAAAAGAGUGGAAGAGCAUAGGUGCUGCGGCAAGAGGACUGGGACACUAAAUUAGAGGAACUCUGUCUGGUGCCUUACCUGCUGAGCAUUUCUGCCCUUCCUGAGCCUCUGCUGCUGACUUCUUACGCGCUGAGAUGGUGCCUCAGUUUUAAGCGGCUGGAAACUUUUUCCAAAGGCAACAGUGCAUCUGCCUCAUCGAUUGGGGAAGCUGAUGCUCUUUGACCAGACCGAAUGGGAGGGAAGCACAACGCCGGUGUUCCCCGCAGUGUUGCUGGCCCCGUGCCUUCCUCUUGCCCCAGCCCCGAGAAAGUAAAUGCCUUCUUGCAAGACCUUAAUUUCAAAUGCAGGGGGAAGAGUAUUUUCCUUGUAUUGUGCUCAUUAUCAGCCCAUCCCAGUUACACUUCAUCAACCAUACUUCAUCUGAGCUUAGGCUGUAAAUUCCUCAGGCCAGGACAGCCUCUCGUACUUAAACCAGGGCUGUAAAUAAAUGGAAAAAUAAACAGCCUUGCAGAGAGAAGCUGUCACUGGUUUUGUGUCGGUGCUGCGUCGGGCACUUGUGGAACGGAAAAGGCUUGGUGCCGUGGGUCAGAUCAACCAUCUCCACCCGGGCAUGGGGAUGUUCAUCUGCUUGUUGCCACCUCGAGGAAGAGGCAGAGCCAGAGGAGCAGCAAGAAUCAGAUCCAGCGUUGCAGAAUCUCAUCAAGAAGAUGGUUUUGCCCGUAGUGGCCACCCACUUCUGGUUGCACGGGAAACACCGACCCAUGGCAUUGCAAUGGGUGAGAAGGGAGACUAGAAGGGCAGGCACCGGCAAUCGGGUAACGUUUCCCUCUCCUAGCCACGGAAAUUAGUGGUGUCUGAGACAUAAAAGGGAAAAAAACCAGAGGGUCUCAUCUUGCUUGCUGUCUGCGGCUUGCCCCGGGCAUGGCAUUCACCUCCACCUCUUGGAGCCUCAGCAGCUGGAUGUCACCUCCGCGUCCCUUUCCCCACCUGGGGCAGGAGCCGGUGGUGCGUUGUACUGCUGUGCGUGAGCAUUGGCCCCGGGAGACACGAUGGGCGCGGAGGAGCAGGAGCAGAAGUCCUCGAAUACGGCAAAGCUGGGCAGCUGCCCGAGACAGCAGUCCUGCUGGAUUUGGUCCGGCGUGAGGAAAAAGACGGUAAAACAAAAGGGGCGCGUUUUUGCCGGUAUCACAACCGUGCUUUUCUCAGGGCCCUCCUCCUCUCGCUCCUGCGUGCUUCGCUGGAAGGAGCUGGCAGGCGACUGACACGCCGCAUCCCGCUCCACGGGACGAGCGUGUCUUAAUUAAUUUCAGGGCUGACUGGACGGAGGGGCGCCCACCCUAACGUCCCCUCCCAGAUUUCCCAGGCGGCAGCUUGCGGUGAAAUUCUCCUUUUCCUUUCAAAUCCAGGGCAGAGCGUGGCUGGGCUCCGGCGGGAGGGCUGGCC